AAAUGAUAUUACCUUACUAUAAGUGUUGUCUAAAUAACUGGUGCCAGAAGACUCGGUAACACCAGAAACGCGAACGUUAGUCUGUCUUAAACAGGCGUAAAGGGUAAGUAAGCUGCUUUAAAUUCUAUAUUUUAAAUAAGCUAAUUUAUAAUAUUCCGCUUUCAAGCUGAUUGCCUCCUUCUGGUUUCUUUGUUUUAAAAAAAAAACACAAAUNAAAGCAAGGANAGGGGANUAGGCUAANACUAAAAAAUUUCANAACCUCUAAAUUAUAANUUAANGGCUAAUCUUAACAAUGAAAAUAANUGGAUAUUAUAAAAAUUUAUAAAAAUAUAAACACUUAAAGCUAAAAUCAUAAUUGAGAUAAACCAAAUAAUACUUAUUUGUAAGGGCGUAUAUCUGAAAAUACUAAGUAGAAUACUAACAGUGAAAACUUUAUAUCUGGUAAUGAUUGACGCUGAGGUACCAAAGUGAGAAAUGGGAAUAGGAUGUGCGACUCGAAAGCUUAAAUAAUUGUAUACCUCCUAAAAGAGGAUUAUACCUUCGUCUGAUAAUAGCCAAACCCUAAACAUGCAUAUACUAGUUAAUAGUUUUGGUGUGAAGCUUUACGGGUAAUGUUAAUU
rnacentral:rRNA from 1 species